rnacentral:rRNA from 1 species
UACGUAGGGGGCUAGCGUUGUCCGGAAUCAUUGGGCGUAAAGCGCGCGUAGGCGGCCCGGUAAGUCCGUUGUGAAAGUCAAAGGCUCAACCUUUGAAAGCCGAUGGAUACUGCCGGGCUAGAGUCCGGAAGAGGCGAGUGGAAUUCCUGGUGUAGCGGUGGAAUGCGCAGAUAUCAGGAGGAACACCAAUAGCGAAGGCAGCUCGCUGGGACGGUACUGACACUGAGGCACGAAAGCGUGGGGAGCAAACAGG